rnacentral:rRNA from 1 species
AGCGAACGUUAGCGGCGGGCCUAACACAUGCAAGUCGAGCGAGAAAGUGGCUUCGGCCAUCAGUAAAGCGGCGGACGGGUGAGUAACACGUAGGUAAUCUUCCCUUGAGCGGGGGACAACGUUUCGAAAGGAACGCUAAUACCGCAUAAGUUUCCGAGGACUCUGGUUCUUGGAAGGAAAGCUAGGUCGCAAGAUCCGGCACUCGAGGAGGAGCCUGCGUCGCAUCAGCUAGUUGGUGGGGAAUGGCCUACCAAGGCGAAGACGCGUAGCUGGUCUGAGAGGAUGAUCAGCCACACUGGGACUGAGACACGGCCCAGACUCCUACGGGAGGCAGCAGUGGGGAAUAUUGGACAAUGGGCGCAAGCCUGAUCCAGCCACGCCGCGUGAGUGAUGAAGGCCUGGUCGUAAGACUCUGUGGGGAGGGACGGAACCGCCGA